rnacentral:rRNA from 1 species
UUCGAACGAGAAAGUGGAGCAAUCCAUGAGUACAGUGGCGACCGGGUGAGUAACACGUGACCAACCUGCCCUCGAGUGGGGAACAACCUAGGGAAACCUGGGCUGAUACCGCAUAACAUCUUCGAGUCGGAAGACUUGGGGAUCAAAGGAGCAAUUCGCUUGAGGAGGGGGUCGCGGCUGAUUAGCUAGUUGGCGGGGUAAUGGCCCACCAAGGCGAAGAUCGGUAGCCGGCCUGAGAGGGCGCACGGCCACACUGGAACUGAAACACGGUCCAUACUCCUACGGGAGGCAGCAGUGGGGAAUUUUGCGCAAUGGGGGAAACCCUGACGCAGCAACGCCCCGUGGAGGAUGAAGUCCCUUUGGGACGUAACUCCUUUCGACCAAGAACAUAAUGACGGUACUGGUGGAACAAGCACCGGCUAACUCUGUUCCCAGCGCCGCGGGUAUAA